GACGUAGGGCGCGAGCGUUGUCCGGAUUUAUUGGGCGUAAAGAGCUCGUAGGCGGUUUGUCGCGUCUGCUGUGAAAACCCGAGGCUCAACCUCGGGCCUGCAGUGGGUACGGGCAGACUAGAGUGCGGUAGGGGAGAUUGGAAUUCCUGGUGUAGCGGUGGAAUGCGCAGAUAUCAGGAGGAACACCGAUGGCGAAGGCAGCUCGCUGGGACGGUACUGACGCUGAGGCGCGAAAGCGUGGGGAGCGAACAGG
rnacentral:rRNA from 1 species